ACUUUAAUAUAAUUUUGUGUUGGUUAUGAGUCAUAUACAUAUUCAAAUCAAGUGAGACUUAUCUUCAUCUUGGAGGGUAAUUGUUCAAACCAAACAAUUUAACAAAAACUCUUCAGAUCACACAACAAUAUUUUGUUCUGAUAUCAUAUACAUAUUUUGAAUUUCUGAAAGAUAUAUUAUGAAAUGAUAGUAAAAUUAACCAAGUUUAACCAUAGUGGUGGUCCAAGUGUAAACAUGUUUGUAUUAUUUUGUCCAAUCCGUUAAGGAUGGUGUGAAUAUAGUGUACAUUAUGAAAAAUUUGGCUUAUGAAACUAACUUGGUUCAAGGGUGAGAACGCAACAAUAACCAUAUUGGAAGCUCCAUUUGUGGAGGAAAACAUUGAGAAAGUAGAUGUGAAAGUAGAUGAGAAAGAAUAAGUAGAGGACAAUAACGAUGAUAAAGAGAAAGAGGAUGAGGACGAUGAAGAGGAUUAAGAAGAGAAUAAUGAAAAUGAUGAUGGAAAAUGAUUAGUUAAGUAGGAGAAUACCAUGAAACAACAAGUAGACUAAUUAUGUUGUUGAAAAAUAUGGGAUGGAACAUGACAUAAAUAUUCGUGACACAAUUGAUUUUGAGACCAACAUGGAAUUCGGGUUUUAAUAGAAACGUCUACGUACUAAUGAACGUGUGCGUGAUGUAAUUAACAUCGAUUAUUUUAGAAAGAAUAGUGACAUUCAACCAUUUGUGAAUCAUAUUGUGAAUCAUAAUCGGAAGGUAAGAUAUGACUUUUGAAAAUAUGUAUGUACACUACUAACUAUGUACUUGAUGAAGUAUGUAAAUGUGAAUGUUUUAUGUACACGAAUAUAGAUGGACAUGUAUGUCUGUUUGAUUAUGUACUAUUGUGAAUGCGGUGUACGUAAUAUUUAUAGAGUUUGUAUCUUUGCUUUUUUGACUUCAAAAUAUGCUAAUAUAAACUAAAU
rnacentral:sRNA from 1 species